UGUUCAGUAAGAUAUUUCCCUGUUGAAUAAUAUCAUAUCUUCCUAUUUAAUGUAAUUGAAUCAUAUCCCUAACAUAAUUAAAUCACAUCUCUAACUUUGCCACUCAAGUUGGACCAUAUGUAUUAUAUGAAACAAGCUCGUAAAAAAUGUCAUCAACACAAGACCUUGAGAGACUAAGAGAACAUGACAGUCAACUGGUUAUUGGAGCUGACAAAGUAAAUAAUAACAAAACUAAUAGAUAUUUCUCAUAGACUUUGUUAAGUUUCUGGGUUAGAAGCCUAACUUUCUCACAACACCCGCUCACACAAAGGCAAGCAAACGAGAUAGAACAAAUGAAAUGUAUGUAUUCACUGUAAUGAAUAACGAAAUACAAUGAUGAUUUAGGAGCCUAAUCCCCCUCACAAGGUCCAAGACUCGUUUAUACAAAGUAAAUGGCUAGCUACUCAACAAAAUUGCAAAAGGUUUAUUUAUACUCUCUCUAUCCCCUAACAACCUAACAAACUUUCCCACUCUUUUUAUUCAUCCUCAACCGUUCGGUAUUAGCAACCUUAUACCAUUCUAUCCUUCACUCCUUCCUCCCUUGCAGCCACCGUUCAGUGUUAGUGUAUAUACCAUUCGGCUCCUUCACUCCUAUUCCCUACCGUUCGAACCCCCAUCCCCGUACCACCAUUCGGUAUUAGUGUAUAUACCAUUCGGCUCCUUCACUCCUAUUCCCCUACUGUUCGAACCCAUUCCCUUACCGUUCAGUACUUUUCUUCCUCCUCCUUUUAUAGACUUUCCAACACCUAACAUAACCCUCCCUUGAAAAUCAACCUUGUCCCCAAGGUUGAACUCAAGGAAUUUCUCUUGAAUAGUGACCCUGUCCUCCCAAGUAGCUCCAUCCAUCCCUCCUUCGUGCCAUUUGAUCAACACCUAGUCUAUCACCUCCCUUCCUUGCUGUUGUUGUCUUCUAUCCAAAACAUGUAUGGGCCAACAAGAAGGUCCCUCCGUAUGUAGAUCAGGUGGCAAAUCCUUCUCACCCUCCUCCAACAUCUCCUGAAAGUCCCUUCAUAGGGCCUAGCUAUUGUUUUCAAUUCUUUUUCCUCCUCCUUCAACCUUCAGGGUAAACCCUAUUUCUCCUUCAUUGCCUCCAUUCCCUUCCUGGACAAGGCAUUUGCCACUUUAUUCAUUGCCCCCAACUUAUAUAUAAUAUCAAAAUCGUAGCCCAAGAGUUUGGCCUGAGCUAGAAUUGGGUCUCCUCUAAUUGUUACCUCACUUCCUCCUUGUUUGAAAGUCAUGGUUAGUUUGCCCCAGUUGGUCACUACCUCCCCCAACUUAGCUAGCCAAUCCACUCCCAGAAUUAAAUCUACACCUCCCAAUUCAAAAAUGUAAUAUUGUUCUGUAAUUUCUGCUCCUCCCAACUACAACACCAUCC
rnacentral:lncRNA from 1 species